CAUGUGUAAGAAUUUGAACCAAAAAACGUUGGUACACUACCGCCAUCUAUUGCAGACUACCCAAGUUGAGCUUAUCAUUGUUCCCAAACCAUAUUUUUUCCCAUAAGAUAUGUGACCACUGGCUGCACUGCUGUCAAAUAAAUCAAAACAAAACAUCUGUGUCGGUUUCGGUUGAUAGCUGCAAAAUUUUCGAUGAGAUUGAAAAUGUUUCAGAUUACCGUAAUAAACAACGUAAAAUUAUCAUUAUUUUCGCCAAGAAAUGAAGCCAGCUAAUAGUGCUAAAUUUUGCUGCCUUGCUGCUCUACGUUUCUCUGUUGCGAACCGAUCGCCGUACGCAAUAUCGUAGGGGUGAUUACCUGGGUCAUUUAAGUAUCGACGGAUUCACGGUCUUACAAAAAACUAUUUAUCCAGAAAGUUCCCACUGAUGAAAAGACAAAUAACAGCACGUUCCAGGAAGUGCUAGCCAAAACAUUUCAUUGGACCAAGGCGAAGUGUCGAUCGAUAAAUCCAUCCUUUUUUUGCUCGCCGGCAGUCUCUGGCAUCGGAAUUCGCUCCAGCUACUAAGCUUGCUCAAGCAUUUCACACCCAAAGCAGGAAAGGGAAAGUUUCCGGUACAGGGAAAUGAGUAGUUAGGCAGAUUUAUCAUCCAUAUUGCUAGUGUACCCAGAGUUGAAGAACACCUUCAGGAAAUAAUGGCCCAUUGAUUCAUCCAGCUGGAUUUGUGUAGGUAGAAUAAUGCCAAGAAAACCCCCCAAGCUAAAGAUAAUUUUGGAAGUGGCCAAGUAGUUCGUUACCCUACUGUUUCGCGUUGGGGAACGAGAACCAAAUGUUGUGGGUGGAGUACCAUCAGUGCACCAGUAUCCGCUCAUGUUCCAGUAGCCCGCUCACACUGAAAAAAGGUAAGUUUACACAAAGGUAAUUUGAAAACUAUAACCGCUAUACGGUUCAAAUCGACAAGUUGAAUCACACUAUGGACAUAUUUUUGUGUAUUUACUCAAAUUAACUUACUUUUUUAACUCGUGAGCGGGCUACUGGAACAUGAGCGGAUUCUGGUACGUUGACGGUAUUAAGGUGAAACAUUUUGGCAUUUGAGUUUAUGAUGAAUUGAACUUGUAGAGUCACUGUCGAUCAUCUAGUUCGUUACGAUUCGUUUGAACAAGAAAACUAUGGUGAAGCCAUUCAAUAAUUUAAAUUGUUUCACAUUCCGGAAGGCAGCAUUCAUUUACUCUCCGUAAAGCUUUUCGCAUUAAAAUUUUCGAAAUUAUGUAUGAGUCGUAAUGUUUGAGCCUACCCCCUUCCCCUUAAAGCGUUACGUAAUUUGUGGACAGCGGCCAACUUUCCUCAGCCUUACGCUUGGUUUCGACAGGGUAGUUAAGUUGAAGCAAGUGAGACGAUUCACUUGGCUAGAACAAAGAUGAACAAGUUAAGUUUUCUUGUUUUACCUGACACAAGAUAUUUCAACUCAGAUACUUCAAAUGUAUUGUUCGUCGCAGUUGGCCUAUAUGUUCUUAAGUCCAAUACUGAUAAUUGUAUGUCAUGAUCUAGAAAACGCCGCCAGCUAAGCUUCCAAUACAAUUUAAAUAAUAACCAUAUUUAUGAGUUGCAUAAAGUAUAACAAAUGUAUUUCAUCACUGUUCUGGGAGAUUCAUACGUACGGCUUUCCUAUUACGUUUUCGAUAACGUUUGUUAUUUUCAGCUAUUUUUUGCUGAACCCGUACAUCGCGAAGAAAGCCUUGGAUUAAUGUAUUAAAGAUGAUAUCUACAAGUUUAUGAAAGCAGGAUUCACAGGCUCCAUAAUCAAACGAUUCAUACUUCAGAUAUGCUUUCAAACGAGUCUUCACGUUCCGUCUGUUUUGGUAUAAAAAUCUUUUAAAUUUCUGCUUGAAACAGAGAAAAGCAAGUAUUCCAAUAUUGUACAAGCAGCUGUUAGGAAUAGUCACAUUUUUCGAAGCACAUGAAGCCUUCAAUUUGAUAAAUGAAUAAUCCUCAUUUUGGAGACAUUCAUCAUCUUGUUCCGCCGUUAGCUUCUGCUUGCAUUUCUUGUGCGGCAGCUUGCUUGCCGCUGCACCAAUUACAUACACCAAUGCAUUUAGCUCUUUUUUCAACGCUUCGAAUGGUGACUCCAAGUCAAGAGCUUCAUAAUCGUAAUUACAUGGUUCAUACGUAUUGGGUUGCAAAUCAUCCACGUCGUUUUCCUCGAGUAACGGCCUUGCUGAAUCGUGCUGACAGUUCGUUCCUUCACCAAAACCUUUUUCUAAAGCGGCGAUCAUGGCGUAUUUGAAAGCACUGCCAAACUGGAAUGCGUUUGGAGCAUCGUUGAAACCACACCGCCUUCUUAUUUCAGAAAAAAAGUUCUCCAGGCAGUCUUGGCAAAGCACGUUCGUGCAUAGAUAUGAACACAAGUAUUCAUUUCGUAAUACUUCCCAUAGCCAUCGCAGAGCUUUUAUAUUGCUAAUCCAACCUUUGAGGAACGGCGGUCGUUUUUGGCAUGCUUUUAAGUACGUAGAUUCUUUACGCGCCUAAGAAGAUAAAAAUUUCAUAGACCAUAUAAGAUUAUGUGAUUAUGUGAUGUUAGGAAAAAAUAUAAAAAAUAAAAUUUACCUUCUCAUAGUCUAAGCAAGAACUCUUGGUAAAAUACAUGUCUUCCAAAAUAGACUCCACUUUAUCUAGAUACUGGAAAUGACCAGAACCUGUUGUUAUCGGCGUUCUGUUAAUCUGUAAAUAUGUUUUGUUCUAUCAGUUAUUAUGGUAUACUCAGAUAUUAGUUUUUAUCACACAAUACAAUACAACACAGAAUUUUGGAUUGAACUUUUUGUUGAAUCUCUUUUUUAAAUUAGUUUUUUUGACACAUGUUUUGCAAUCUUCUCUCAAUGGCUCAUUUGAAAAAAUAAUCUUAUUUUAUAUGUUUUGUUAUUACAAAAUAUUAUUUUUUCGAAUUUUGUUUAAGGUACCGUGAGUCAAGUGAGUAAUGGAAAUCGUGGAAUGCUUAUAGUCUGAAUGAAAGAAUUACCUCAAGAGCGGAGAUAUCGU
rnacentral:lncRNA from 1 species